UUGGCAUUUACAAUUGGAGGGUCACGCUCAGUGGAAUUCCUGUCCAGCCUCAAUCUGAUCUUCAUCCCUUACAGGAUGGGAGAAAGGCGGCAACGGUGGGAUGUCCCUGAGGAUCUUGUUCAAGGGAUGAGCCUUUUGUAUUGUGUGAGAAGAUGGCCAAUGCAUGAGGACAGCCCAGAAGUCAGGAAAAGCCCAGAUGAGGCGGCUGGUUGAUCAGGGUGUGCUCUGAUGCUAAGUGUCACAGGUGACCAGUAAUGCUGACCUCUGCAAGGAUAGGUUUCACCUUCCUCCGUCCACCCUGCCCACCCAAGAGGGGCAGCCAUGGCCCAGCUCCCAAGGCAAGCGAGUGGACCCCCAGCCACGGGAGUGACCCAGAAGACAAGCCUGGCACGCUCUGUGGGCACAGAAGAUCGUGGGCACAAAAGAGAGAGAAAUGUUGGCCAAGACUUCGAGCUGCUGCAGCCUGGUGCACCCACCUUCCAGAUGCUCAGUAGUGAGGACAUGCUCCCCUGGGGAGUCCUCUGCUCCCUGCACUCAUCAACGAGGCCACCUACUACAACACGGGCAUCACCUUCCUCCAGACUAAGAGGUGCACAUUCUCUGUGCCCACCCUGCCCAAGCUGGCCCUGCCCCCACCCCGGAACCCUAACCCAGGCCACACCUGUCUGGCCUCAGCCCUCAGGUUCUGAGGCACAAUCUCCAGCCUGGGGUCCCCCUUCCACCCUGCUGUGUAUCAGAUGUUUUGCCACACCCCUGCACCUCCAUGCCUCAGUCUCCCAUUCUAUAAAAUAGAAGAUGCCCAGGGGGUCCGCGGUUUGUGUCUUCCAUCCCGCACGGCCCCUCUCCAUGACCUCAGGGUCUGGGGCAGGUCUGGCCCAGGGUGGUCUUGAACAUACUCUGUGUCCUAGGGCCAGUGGUGGCUGUCUCUGGG